rnacentral:rRNA from 1 species
UACGUAGGGUGCAAGCGUUGUCCGGAAUUAUUGGGCGUAAAGAGCUCGUAGGCGGUUUGUCGCGUCUGCUGUGAAAACCCGAGGCUCAACCUCGGGCCUGCAGUGGGUACGGGCAGACUAGGAGUGCGGUAGGGGAGAUUGGAAUUCCGUGGUAGUAGCGGUGGAAUCGCAGGAGUAAUCAGGAGGAACACCGAUGGCGAAG